rnacentral:rRNA from 1 species
UACGAAGGGGGCUAGCGUUGCUCGGAAUCACUGGGCGUAAAGGGUGCGUAGGCGGGUCUUUUAAGUCAGGGGUGAAAUCCUGGAGCUCAACUCCAGAACUGCCUUUGAUACUGAGGAUCUUGAGUUCGGGAGAGGUGAGUGGAACUGCGAGUGUAGAGGUGAAAUUCGUAGAUAUUCGCAAGAACACCAGUGGCGAAGGCGGCUCACUGGCCCGAUACUGACGCUGAGGCACAA